GGGCCACUAGCUCAAAUGGUAGAGCGCUCGCUUAGCAUGCGAGAGGCACGGGGAUCGAUACCCCGGUGGUCCA
rfam:Trichinella nelsoni scaffold150s, whole genome shotgun sequence.